CCUACGGGGUGCAGCAGUGAGGAAUAUUGGUCAAUGGGCGGAAGCCUGUACCAGCCAAGUAGCGUGCAGGAUGACGGCCCUACGGGUUGUAAACUGCUUUUAUACGGGAAUAACGCGCCUUACGUGUAGGGCUUUGCAUGUACCGUAUGAAUAAGGACCGGCUAAUUCCGUGCCAGCAGCCGCGGUAAUACGGAAGGUCCGGGCGUUAUCCGGAUUUAUUGGGUUUAAAGGGAGCGUAGGCCGCAUGUCAAGCGUGCUGUGAAAUGUCCGGGCUCAACCCGGGCCUUGCAGCGCGAACUGGCGUGCUUGAGUCCGCGGAAAGCAGGCGGAAUUCGUCGUGUAGCGGUGAAAUGCUUAGAUAUGACGAAGAACCCCGAUUGCGAAGGCAGCUUGCUGCAGCGGAACUGACGCUGAUGCUCGAAAGCGCGGGUAUCGAACAGGAUUAGAUACCCUUGUAGUC
rnacentral:rRNA from 1 species